rnacentral:rRNA from 1 species
UACGUAGGGUGCAAGCGUUGUCCGGAAUUAUUGGGCGUAAAGAGCUCGUAGGCGGUUUGUCGCGUCUGCUGUGAAAACUCAGGGCUUAACCCUGAGCCUGCAGUGGGUACGGGCAGACUAGAGUGUGGUAGGGGAGAUCGGAAUUCCUGGUGUAGCGGUGGAAUGCGCAGAUAUCAGGAGGAACACCGGUGGCGAAGGCGGAUCUCUGGGCCAUAACUGACGCUGAGGAGCGAAAGCAUGGGGAGCGAACGGG